CUUAGGAAAUGUUACUAAUUUUACGCAAUAAUAUCUUAAGCUAAUACCGAUUUAAAUUGAGCGGCAAGAACAUUUGCAGAAAUAGUGUUUUAAUGAAUUAUUCACUUGUUCGAACUUGGCACAGCUGAUUAUUGGAUUACUCCAUCCCCAUCUUGUUUGAUUCCAAUGAAUUCUGGCAUCAGGGGUGCGAGCUGAAAAAGAAAGAGAAAAUAAUUAAUAUUGAUUGGCCCACACAGAUGCAAAAUAUAUUCAAGGACGAAAGUGGGUGCAGAACUGUGUAACUCGACUACUCCACUUGGCCAGGUGCUCUAAGGUGCUGAAAGGAAAACAAACUUUACAGCAUUGGUGAUUCCGUUGUAAGUAGGUACUUGAGCCAUCAUGGCAUCUCCAGGUUCCAAGGUCAUCUCGAAGACCUUGCUGCAAGCAUCCAUCGAUCCCGAGGUGAUGUGCACGUCCCAGUUAGGGUAGUUUAUGGUAUGCCAGUGUUCCUGGAACUCUCGUAUCUUCUUCAUGAGUGGCAGGUCACAGAGAGCUCCUCAAAGGGAAACGUCUCGGCGUUGGGCAUCCCGUUGGCCAGGCUCACGGAUUUAGGCCUCUUCAUGAACUCUAAUGCUGCAAUGCAUAGGAAAUUAUAAAUAGACUGUCCAUGUUUAUACAUAUUC